UAUGCCCUGAGAAUCAUUGCAUUACUCCCAUUCCGCAACACAUAAACACACGUCAGAUGUGUGGUAAACCAAAUUCUCUCAGGAGCUUGUCCUGAAAGAGGGAAAGACACGAUGAUUUAGAGUCUACAUCUGCAGCUCUUGCAGCUGCUUCAGUUCCUGCUGAUGGAGGAAAAUUCCCUGCAGCAACAGCCUCCUGAGGCAGAGGCUUAGAGCAGUUCCUGAAGCAAAGUCCCAGAGGCUUUGGGCCCAACGCUGUCACUUGCCCGUUGGGCAGGUGAGGAGCAAGCAGCCACUGUGCAGCAUGGUCACUUCUGCUGUCAGAUGCAUCACCUGCAAGUGGAAGAGGGCUGUGUAUCACUCUUUCUGGAUUCUUUAAGAUUUUUAGAAAGGCAGAUUAGAGCAGGCAACUUCCUAAACGAGGUGCAGGGCAUGGUGCGGCCUUGGCAUACCCUUGGUUGAAGCUCGCAGGGUGAGCUGCCAAUGGGUGUGAAGCCUGCAGGAAUGUUUUCACUGGUGGGGAACACGUGAGACUUUUCUUCAGCUUCUUGCAGUAAGAGGAUGUUCUGGAGGGAAGUCUCAUGCAACCUCUGUAUUUUGAAGUUGUUCUCGGUGACAGACUGGGAAUGCAGCAGCACCAGCACUGUGAUUCUUUCCAACCUAUGUGUAAAAAAACACCUCUGUACUAAACAGCUUUUCUGCCUAAUGAGCUAAUAAUGCAUCUAUGAGUUCAGUUAUUAAAGUAAGUUUUUAUUGCUUUUUGCUUAUGUUAGCACCCCAGACUCACCAAACAAGUCGGGUAGACUGGCAAUUACCAGGGCUCUAGGAACAGGGAUUCAGCUCCCUCCUUCCUCUGCAGUGAGGAAAGGAGAUGGGACCAGACCCUAAAGGUAUUAAAUGCCUUAAUCCUAUGGAAUUUGAUGGCAAUGGGUGCCUAAAUACCCGGGGGAUAUGGCUUAAUCUCUUUAUACCUUUGUUCUUCAUCUGGCAUAUAAGAAUAAUAAUUCUCCCCUAAUCACAGUAAAAUAUGACCAAAAAAAAAACAUACUAAGGAAAACAAGAUGUUCAGCUACUAUAAUCUCUAAAUGCAGAAGUAUCUAAGUAAUACAGCAUGACAAUAUGGUUAUUUCUUUUUGAUGACAUUGUGCUCUCCAGUCCUAGGGAGAAGUGUUCACCUGCUUGUUGAUUCACUGCCGGCUGUGUUCCCUGACUGCAAUCAGAGCACAUUUUCCCCUUCAGAAGUUUAGAAUCAAGGAGAAGGUAAACACAUGCCAAAUCUUGCAGUGAUGUUGGCCCGCUCCCAAAGUUGCAACAUAAUGAAGAAAACGUUCAGUUUAGAACUCUGUGCCCCUUUUUUACAACAUUCCUUAAGUUACUCAUGACAGAUGCAACUUUCCUGGCUCCAGAGGCUGAAACCAAGAUUCUGAGCUGUUAUCCUCAAGGAUAUUGCAUGAGCAAGCCCUCUCUACCAUGGCAUUACUGCUUCAUCCCAGGAAUAAUUCACCUGAUGCACCCUGAGACCAUGCUGCCUUUUUCACAGGGUAAUGUUAAUGGCUAAAAUGAUCAGAUGGGAUGUGACCUUCGGCUGCCCUGGGCAGAUUCUCCUGUGAGUCAGUGGUGGAUUUGGUUUCUACAGAGCUCAGCUACCUGCACCAGUCAAUGCUGGGGACUUCUCAAAGAAAUGGUUCCAAAUUCUCCCAGUGUUGAGUUAGCAUACUCCAGGAGGAACCCACCAGUUACAGAGGGCUUUGUAUUACUGGUCCAGGAGCAAUUUCAGUGUCAAAAUUGCCCCAGGAACUUUGGGAAUAGUUGGGCAAAAUGAUGGUCACAUCUGGCACCUCUCAUGGUGUUCCAGUUGUUUACUUAUUAGUGAGUGAGUAGCAUGUGGGGCUGCAGGAGCCCACAGGCAUCCACUUCCAAAUCCUCGGAGUUGCUGCAGUGCACAGCUCUUGCUCUUCUUUUAUUUUUUCUUUCCAAACAAGUUUUUUUAGCCUUUGACAUUUUAGGAGAAAUUUACAAAAGAAAAAGAAGAGAAAGAUCUAUUCUGAUUUCUGACAAAAUAAAGUUAAACUUCUGCAAGAAUUUAAGUAAGCAAUCAAAAACUGACUAUAGGUGUAAUAAGCAGAACUUUAUGUAUUUAUGCCCAUCAAAGAGGCAACAGCAGAGUAGUGUUGUCUAUCUAUGUGCAGAAAACAGUGGUUUUCUCAGCUUCAUCUCAUGAGUAUGCAGAUGUGGCUGUGGCUAAAGGAGAUGUGCUUGAAGCGGUAAUCAACCUUUUAAUUCCAAUGGUAAAAUUGCCAUGUGAAGGCAUGCAACUCCUCGAGGGCUACAUGACUCUCCAUACAGUCUUGGCACUAUGUGGGCACCAUUGGUACCCACGAUGCACCCCAGACCUUACCUACACUCUGCUCUGUGUCAGGACUCAUUUCAGGACUCAUUUUGAUCUCAUUUCAGAGGUGACUGUACUGUGGGACUGUACAGAGCCAUGCUGGAUCAGAAAUGGAAAACAGAACCAUAGCCAGCAACAGAUGGAUAGAAGAAUUUUGGCUGGAUGUUGCACAAAAAGGUCUACGUACUCUUAGGUUUGUGGUAGAAGAGUUCUCCAAGAUGCUAAUUUUAGGUACAGUUUGAUGUAGAACAUUUGUUCUUCAAUAUCGACGACCUUCUUCAAAAGCACACAUUAUUCCAGACCUUGGGUAUGACAUAAAGGGUUAAGCUGUCCUGUUGUACGGAGAAGCCAGAGCCGCCUCACUGCUCUGUGAAAUCCAAGGAAAGCAGUGGCUCCCGAAAUUCCCUCCCUUGCCUGAACAGUUUGAAGACUGGUUUCUGUCCUAACUUGGUCUGAAUCUGCCUUUGGUGCCAUUGUGGAGGGAGAAAACACUUCAACUGUGGCUUUCCCAACAGCCUUUUCCUGGGAUGGAUAUUUUCUUCUACAGAAGAAACUUCUACAGAGAAAUUCUGAUACGGUCAACUAACUAGAGCAUCUGGUGUAUGCAGCUGGUCUAAGGAUUCAGCAAGAGGUGAGACCAGGAGCUGUUUAAUCACCACAAACAUGAAGACUAACCCAAGCAUGCUCUCCCUUCUCUGGAGGAAGUCAAGCAGCAGCACUGAGGCAUAAAUGUUCAAGUCCCUUCCAGACGUCUUGCCUGCUUCUGCCUUGAGUCACUAGAAAAACAAGGUGGUUUUGCUGGGUGGAGAUUUGUGUCAGAAUAACUUGCAGAACCGAGCCCUCAGUUUGCAAACGGCGUCGAACUUCAGUUCAUUAAAAGAAAUUUCAGAGGUGAGCUUCGUGAUGCUUUAAACAAUCACUGGAGGAAAAUAUUGGAGCUUUCCACCAAGGCCGUGAGCCAAGCCAGGUUCCAUCUGUGCACUCUCCUCUACUUGAGUGGUCACGUCCAUGUGCCAUUACUAAGGAUGUAUGGUGGAAUCAUGCCAAGCCUUCAACCUCACAUUUUGAACUUCUCAAUAAGAAAGACGGGGGGAUGGUUUUAAAAAGCAAAAGUCCAUGUUCUUAAGCAUCAUACUUGCUCUUGGUAUUACUGGCAACGGCUGCCCAGGAAUCACUGUCCCUGGAGGUAUUCCAGAACCACAGAGAUGUGACACUGAGGGACACAGUGAGUGGACAUGGUGGGAGUGGACUGCAGUUGGACUUGAUCCUAGAGCAGCUCCUUGGCUCUACUCAAUGAGGGACUCAGUGCAUGAUGCAGCAUCCUGGGAGAAGGUGAGCAAGGGGCAAGAAAUGUUUUCCCAGUCUCAAGUAUGAAGAAGAGGGGUGCCUGCUGCAUAUGUCCUUGAGAUGCAUGUAUAGUCAGUUCAUGGCUGGGAUGAGUGGUCCCAUGGGAUUUGUUGCCAUCAUGCUGCUACCUACUUUUCUGCUCUUUCAGCCUUUAGAGAGCAAUGAGUGGGUUUUGUUUUUGUUGUUUCUUUUUAAAUUAUUUAUCAUUUUCUGUUUCAUAACUCAGAGAAGGAAGAGCAAACAGUGGAGAUGGACUGUUAGAGUUUUCCUCCCACAUACCUGGAGCACUGGUGUGAAAUCCACGGUAUUAGCUUUUACGUUAGCUGUAGAUAGAGAUGCUCCUGCAAGGCCGUUAGUUGCAAGGGGGGUGUAUUGCCUUCCCUGUGUGUGACGCAUUUAGCCUCAGCAGGACGAGGGAGGUGGUGUACCAAAGUAUGCUUGUUUCAUUAAAAAAAAAAAUGUAUGGAGAGAGAAUUGUUUCCCUGAUAUGUUUAAAUACAGGAAAACUGCUCAGAGGAUCAAAAAAGUCUGUUCUUUGAGCAGUACAAUGUGUUUUCCAUAUUGGUUCCCAUUUAAUGCUUACUUCAACAAAGAUCUAUUUUCUUUGACAAGUCAACUGAAAUCCUGCAGAUCUAUUUGCUGUUUGCGUUAUGACUUAUGCAAAUAAAACCAUCCCAGAUUGGAUCUGAGUGCUGUUUUUAUCUCACUCAGAACUCCUGUAUCCUGACUAAAAGAUACAGUGAAGUCUUGCUUCCCUUAGACGGGCCUGGGACGACUCAGUUCUCUCUUGAGCUCCUUGUGCCCAAGGCUGGUGUUUCAGAAGGUGCCAGUUGCUUGCCAUCACCGUAUCUUUGGUAUCUGGAGGGAAAAUAAAAGUUUAUUUUCAGGGUUUAUAGGUGUUUUCAGCACACCUGCAAGAAAUGUUGGAGAGGACAGAUGUGAGAUGGAAGUAUUACAGGCUGAACACCUCUCAAUCUCCACCUCUGCUGUGGAAAGAUAGGGAGUGUUGUGUAUCAAGGACUGUCUGAGGGAAGUCAGCUGAAUUCUAAAAGAUCCCCUUUGAACCACAGCAAUUUCAAAAAGAGAGAUUAGAGGCAACGCAAAUGUUGUUUGGAUGGCUACCAGCACUGCAAAUCAAAGCCUGGGCUGGUAAGAGUAAAGAGUGAUGACCAAGAGGAGCCCUACCUACCAAAUCCAUCCUAAGAUCUCUGGGACUAUUUCCCCCAUCUCAAGCUUUCCAGUCGUGUAAAAACUCCUGUCUUCUUCCACACUGAUUUCAAGGGAUGAUGCAGCCUUGUCCCACUAAUAAUCAUACUCAAGAGGCAGAAGAUUUGAAAUAGCUCUCUUUUGGGACUUUUUUUUUUUUGAUGAUGAUUUCUGCUCCAGCAAGUGAGGGAGCAAGAGGAACGUGCUCUGUGUGAGCAUGUCCCCCGGUGACUCCAUGCCUGUGCAAUGAGUUAGCCCCAUUGUAUGGAGCUGCCUUCACUCUCCUGAUCUUUCACAGGGGAAUUUGCAGCAGGGAAUGCAGCUGAAGAAAAUUUCCUAUCCUACAAAAGUAAGCGCAGCACAUGUCUAAAGGGACAGCCUUGGUCUAUACGAUGCACAUUCGAAAAAGAAAGGAGACAACAAAAUAAAGGUUGUGUAUGCUGAGAAAAGAGAUGUCUGGUCAUUUGGGACCAAGUUCUGAUUUUGUUCCUGAGCUGAUGAAUAAUUCAGGGGGCCAAACUGAUAUCCAAGCAGCAUGGCGUGGGUGUGGACCUCUCUCUUUGCAGAGCACCUACUGCGGAUAAGUCAUUGCACUGAAUGACCAGUGCUAUUCCAGGGACAUGCAGUGCUGGGGAGAGACAGGAAAUCUGCUUAAAUACAGAAAAAUGAUGAGCUAGAGAAAGGUUAUUUAAAGCUUAAAAGAAUUUGGCAAAUUGUCUGAUGCUGUCAUCCACUUCUCUUUCCUUCCCGUUCCCCGGUCACAGUUCUCUGCCAUGUUAGCGUGUGCAGGAGAGGUGGCCCUGUCAAGCUUUCAAAAGGCAGCAUACUGAAAAGGUCAGGGUAGUAUAGUAUGACAGAGCAUGUAAGUCAUUAUCAUUCUAAUAUUGCUUUUGUAAUGAGAACAAGAGCGGAGCAAAUUAUUGUGAAAUACCUCGUAAAACUUGGGGAAGAAAAAUCAUAGUUAUAUCACUGCCAAAGUAAACGAUGAGUGGAUUCUAUGUGUGUCUUCAUAAACAUGCUCCUCUGUUGGAGGAGUCUGAAAUAAAAAGAUUUGUGGCAAUUUCCAUGGUAACUAUUCAUUUUUUCCCCCAACUGCAUAAGGAAAACUCGCAUUACUGCAAGGUUGGGAGGAAGUGAAGCUAACUAAAGAGCUCAGGGAUUUUGUUUGAUUUUUUGUUUGUUUUGUUUAUCUGUUUGUUUGUUUUAAAUUAAGAUCUGUCAAAACUUUGGCACUUAUUCCUGUCAUCUGAGUAACAUGAAGCCGAAAGUAAUGUCUAGAUCCAUUUACCUCACACAGGUCCUGCAUAGUAUAAUUGUAUUGCUAACAUCACAGGGUUGUUUAUUUGGACCUUUUGCAAAAACUUGGGGAACUGAAAAGAAAAUAAUAACUCACAUUCCCCUGUAGAUCCCUAAGUAUGAAACCAUCACAAAUUUGUGAUAUUCUUGGUUUUAGAGUGAAGUGGUGGAAGAGCAUAUAGAAAAUAUGGACCAGAUUGGAGAAGCACCAGUCUGUUGGAGGGAAAUCCCAGAUGGCUUUGGGUACCUGGUUUGUGAGCAAUCGCUGUGCUAACACAGAAUCACAGAAUGGCCCAGGUUGGAAGGGACCUCAAGAGUCAUGAAGCUCCAACCCCCCUGCCACAGGCAGGGCCACCAACCUCCACAUUUAAUACUAGACCAGGCUGCCCAGGGCCUCAUCCAAUCUGGCCUUGAACACCUCCAGGGACAGGGCAUUCACAACCUCUCUGGGCAGCUGUUCCAGCACAAGUCCUUCAGACCAACCAUCAGCUCCCCUGUGGGUUGAACCCAAU
rnacentral:lncRNA from 1 species